rnacentral:rRNA from 1 species
UACGGAGGGAGCUAGCGUUGUUCGGAAUUACUGGGCGUAAAGCGCACGUAGGCGGCUAUUCAAGUCGGGGGUGAAAGCCCGGGGCUCAACCCCGGAACUGCCCCUCGAAACUAGGUAGCUAGAAUCUUGGAGAGGCGAGUGGAAUUCCGAGUGUAGAGGUGAAAUUCGUAGAUAUUCGGAAGAACACCAGUGGCGAAGGCGACUCGCUGGACAAGUAUUGACGCUGAGGUGCGAAAGCGUGGGGAGCAAACAGG